rnacentral:rRNA from 1 species
AUACGGAGGAUCCGAGCGUUAUCCGGAUUUAUUGGGUUUAAAGGGUGCGCAGGCGGGAGAUUAAGUCGGCGGUGAAAUUUUGCAGCUCAACUGUAAAAGUGCCUUCGAAACUGGUUUCCUUGAGUGUAGAUGAAGUAGGCGGAAUUUGUGGUGUAGCGGUGAAAUUCAUAGAUAUCACGAAGAACUCCGAUUGCGCAGGCAACCUUACAAACCUCUAACUGCGCCCAGGCACCAAAGCGUUGGGAACAAACAGGAUUAGAUACCCUGGUAGUCCACGCAGUAAACGAUGAUUACUAGCUGUUUGCGAUACAAUGUAAGCGGCUGAGCGAAAGCGUUAAGUAAUCCACCUGGGGAGUACGUUCGCAAGAAUGAAACUUAAAGGAAUUGACGGGG